UGAGAGUUUGAUCCUGGCUCAGGACGAACGCUGGCGGCGUGCUUAACACAUGCAAGUCGAGGGCACUAUUGGGGCAACCUGGUAGUGACCGGCGACCGGGUGAGUAACACGUGACUAACCUACCCUUGAAUGGGGAAUAACCUUCCGAAAGGAGGGCUAAUACCGCAUAAAGUCCUAAGGAUGAAACGCCUAAGGACCAAAGGAGCAAUUCGUUUAAGGAGGGGGUCGCGGUUGAUUAGCUAGUUGGUGGGGUAAUGGCCCACCAAGGCGAUGAUCAAUAGCCGGCCUGAGAGGGCGCACGGCCACACUGGAACUGAAACACGGUCCAGACUCCUACGGGAGGCAGCAGUGGGGAAUUUUGCGCAAUGGGGGAAACCCUGACGCAGCAACGCCGCGUGAAGGAUGAAGGUCUUUGGAUUGUAAACUUCUUUCGAUCGGGAAGAUAAUGACGGUACCGAGAGAAGAAGCCCCGGCUAACUUCGUGCCAGCAGCCGCGGUAAU
rnacentral:rRNA from 1 species